rnacentral:rRNA from 1 species
CGUUGUUCGGAAUUACUGGGCGUAAAGCGCGUGUAGGCGGUUGUUCAAGUCAGGUGUGAAAGCCUUGAGCUCAACUCAAGAAAUGCACUUGAUACUGGAUGACUAGAGGACCGGAGAGGAUAGUGGAAUUCCCAGUGUAGUGGUGAAAUACGUAGAGAUUGGGAAGAACACCAGUGGCGAAGGCGGCUAUCUGGACGGUUUCUGACGCUAAGACGCGAAAGCGUGGGGAGCAAACAGG